UACAGAGGGGGCAAGCGUUAUUCGGAAUUAUUGGGCGUAAAGGGCGCGUAGGCGGUCAGCACAAGUCAGUUGUGAAAUCUCCGGGCUUAACUCGGAAAGGUCAACUGAUACUGUGCGACUAGAGUGCAGAAGGGGCAACUGGAAUUCUCGGUGUAGCGGUGAAAUGCGCAGAUAUCAGGAGGAACACCGGUGGCGAAGGCGGUUCUCUGGGCAUUACCUGACGCUGAGGAGCGAAAGUGUGGGGAGCGAACAGG
rnacentral:rRNA from 1 species